rnacentral:rRNA from 1 species
UACGGAGGGUGCAAGCGUUAAUCGGAAUUACUGGGCGUAAAGCGUGCGCAGGCGGUUUGUUAAGUCUGUUGUGAAAUCCCCGAGCUCAACUUGGGAAUUGCAAUGGAUACUGGCAGGCUAGAGUAUGGUAGAGGAAGGUGGAAUUCCCGGUGUAGCAGUGAAAUGCGUAGAGAUCGGGAGGAACACCAGUGGCGAAGGCGGCCAUCUGGGACAACACUGACGCUGAGGCACGAAAGCGUGGGGAGCAAACAGG